CGACCCCAGGUCAGGCGGGGUUACCCGCU
rnacentral:rRNA from 2 species